rnacentral:sRNA from 2 species
UCGAUUUGUCGCGCUGCUUGAGCUGGACGAGAGGGUGGGCCGUGAAGGCCGACAACAUUGCUUUCUGGUGCUAUCGCUGGAGCUGCGGGGAUGAAUGUUGAAAACCCCGUUCUGGUUCUGACUGCCGUAGCUGAUGCAAGUUGUGGAAGCUCGGUGUCGGGAAGAUUUACUUGACCACUUGACGUAUAGUUCACAUUCCGGCAGUUUCGCCAGCUCGGAAACCAGUGGAACAGCGCCUCACGUCCAUGGAGAUGAAUGAGUGUGCCGAGAUACGCCGCCUCCCAUUACUAUCAAAGGUUGGGUU